rnacentral:rRNA from 1 species
UGCAAGUCGAGCGGGGGAAGGUAGCUUGCUACUGGACCUAGCGGCGGACGGGUGAGUAAUGCUUAGGAAUCUGCCUAUUAGUGGGGGACAACAUCUCGAAAGGGAUGCUAAUACCGCAUACGUCCUACGGGAGAAAGCAGGGGAUCUUCGGACCUUGCGCUAAUAGAUGAGCCUAAGUCGGAUUAGCUAGUUGGUGGGGUAAAGGCCUACCAAGGCGACGAUCUGUAGCGGGUCUGAGAGGAUGAUCCGCCACACUGGGACUGAGACACGGCCCAGACUCCUACGGGAGGCAGCAGUGGGGAAUAUUGGACAAUGGGGGGAACCCUGAUCCAGCCAUGCCGCGUGUGUGAAGAAGGCCUUAUGGUUGUAAAGCACUUUAAGCGAGGAGGAGGCUACUUUAGUUAAUACCUAGAGAUAGUGGACGUUACUCGCAGAAUAAGCACCGGCUAACUCUGUGCCAGCAGCCGCGGUAAUACAGAGGGUGCGAGCGUUAAUCGGAUUUACUGGGCGUAAAGCGUGCGUAGGCGGCUUAUUAAGUCGGAUGUGAAAUCCCCGAGCUUAACUUGGGAAUUGCAUUCGAUACUGGUGAGCUAGAGUAUGGGAGAGGAUGGUAGAAUUCCAGGUGUAGCGGUGAAAUGCGUAGAGAUCUGGAGGAAUACCGAUGGCGAAGGCAGCCAUCUGGCCUAAUACUGACGCUGAGGUACGAAAGCAUGGGGAGCAAACAGGAUUAGAUACCCUGGUAGUCCAUGCCGUAAACGAUGUCUACUAGCCGUUGGGGCCUUUGAGGCUUUAGUGGCGCAGCUAACGCGAUAAGUAGACCGCCUGGGGA